GACGAACGCUGGCGGCGUGCUUAACACAUGCAAGUCGAGCGGUAAGGCCCUUUCGGGGGUACACGAGCGGCGAACGGGUGAGUAACACGUGGGUGACCUGCCCUCAGCUCUGGGAUAAGCCUGGGAAACCGGGUCUAAUACCGGAUAUGACUCCAUGACGCAUGUUGUGGGGUGGAAAGCCUUGUGCGGCUGAGGAUGGGCCCGCGGCCUAUCAGCUUGGUUGGUGGGGUGAUCGGCCUACCAAGGCGACGGACGGGUAGCCGGCCUGAGAGGGCGACCGGCCACACGUGGGACUGAGACACCGGCCCAGACUCCGUACGGGAGGCAGCAGGUGGGGAAUCUUGCGCAAGUGGGACGAAACGCCUGACGCAGCGACGCCGCGUGA
rnacentral:rRNA from 1 species